rnacentral:rRNA from 1 species
AUGGCUCAGGAUGAACGCUAGCGACAGGCCUAACACAUGCAAGUCGAGGGGCAGCGGGGGAGCAAUCCGUGCCGGCGACCGGCGCACGGGUGAGUAACGCGUAUGUAACCUGCCCAUGAGUGGGGGAUAGCCCAGCGAAAGCUGGAUUAAUACCGCAUGAAACCGUUUGAAGACAUCUGAUAAUGGUUAAAGAUUUAUUGCUCAUGGAUGGACAUGCGUCCGAUUAGCUAGUUGGCGGGCAACGGCCCACCAAGGCGACGAUCGGUAGGGUUCUGAGAGGAAGGUCCCCACAUUGGUACUGAGACACGGACCAAACUCCUACGGGAGGCAGCAGUGAGGAAUAUUGGUCAAUGGGCGGAAGCCUGAACCAGCCAAGUCGCGUGAAGGAUGAAAAGGUAUUAUGUAUUGUAAACUUCUUUAGCAGUGGAGUAAUAAGGUGGUCGUGACCACUGAUGCUAAGUACACUGAGAAUAAGGAUCGGCUAACUCCGUGCCAGCCGCCGC